AGCCCAGCCUCCGGGGAUGGAACUGCCGUACGAACCGGGCCAGGCCGGAAGGAGCAACCCUAACUACGGCGUCCCAUGCUCCGGGGAUACUGGGUGGAG
rnacentral:misc_RNA from 1 species